CCUACGGGGGGCAGCAGUGGGGAAUAUUGCGCAAUGGGCGAAAGCCUGACGCAGCGACGCCGCGUGAGGGAUGAAGGUCUUCGGAUCGUAAACCUCUGUCAGCAGGGAAGAACGGUCACUGUGCUAAUCAGCAGUGAAUUGACGGUACCUGCAAAGGAAGCACCGGCUAACUCCGUGCCAGCAGCCGCGGUAAUACGGAGGGUGCGAGCGUUAAUCGGAAUUACUGGGCGUAAAGCGCUCGUAGGCGGUAUGUCAAGUCAAGGGUGAAAUCCCCGGGCUCAACGUGGGAACUGCCUUUGAAACUGGCAAACUGGAGUGUGUGGGAGGAUAGUGGAAUUCCAGGUGUAGGAGUGAAAUCCGUAGAUAUCUGGAGGAACAUCAGUGGCGAAGGCGACUAUCUGGAACAUAACUGACGCUGAGGAGCGAAGGCGUGGGUAGCAAACAGGAUUAGAUACCCUUGUAGUC
rnacentral:rRNA from 1 species